GACGAACGCUGGCGGCAUGCCUAAUACAUGCAAGUCGAGCGAACAGAUGAAGUGCUUGCACUUCUGACGUUAGCGGCGAACGGGUGAGUAACACGUAAGGAAUCUACCUAUAAGCGGAGGAUAACAUUCGGAAACGGGUGCUAAUACCGCAUAAUAUCUUCUUCCGCAGGGAAGACGAUUGAAAGACGGCUCUGCUGUCACUUAUAGAUGACCUUGCGGUGCAUUAGUUUGUGGGUGGGGUAACGGCCUACCAAGACGAUGAUGCAUAGCCGACCGGGGAGGGUGAUCGGCCACAUUGGGACUGAGACACGGCCCAAACUCCUACGGGAGGCAGCAGUAGGGAAUCUUCCGCAAUGGGCGAAAGCCUGACGGAGAAUGCCGCGUGAGUGAAGAAGGCCUUCGGGUCGUAAAACUCUGUUAUAAGAGAAGAACAAAUUGUAGAGUAACUGCUACAGUCUUGACGGUAUCUUAUCAGAAAGCCACGGCUAACUACGUGCCAGCCGCCGCCGUAA
rnacentral:rRNA from 1 species